rnacentral:rRNA from 1 species
UUGAUGGAGAGUUUGAUCCUGGCUCAGGAACAACGCUGGCGGCGUGCCUAAUGCAUGCAAGUCGAACGGGAGCCGCUUUGGCGGUCGACCGUGGCG